rnacentral:rRNA from 1 species
UACGUAGGGGGCAAGCGUUGUCCGGAGUUACUGGGCGUAAAGCGCACGCAGGCGGUCUCUUAAGUUUGGAGUGACAGUUGGUGGCUUAACUGCCAAAGUGCUUCGAAAACUGAGAGACUUGAGGGCUUCAGAGGGACACGGAAUUCCGGGUGGAGUGGUGAAAUGCAUAGAGAUCCGGAGGAACACCAAAGGCGAAGGCAGUGCCCUGGGGAGUACCUGACGCUCAGGUGCGAAAGCCAGGGGAGCGAACGGG